UAUGAUGCUACACAUGUACAGCCGCUGAUCCUAAAUCCUGCAUAGACAGCAAAUCUUGUGCCGUCAUCUUCAACCGUUGUUUCUCUCUCAGAGUAGACGGUUAUAACUUGGUUACAAAGGGCUGCCAAACCAGUGCAUUAUGCAUUGGGUCUAUGGCUUGCUGUGAAGGGGACCUGUGUAACAGCACUACUCCAACCGGUCCCAGUGCUUUCCUGCUGUUGGUAUCUUCAGCCAUCCUCAAGUUUCUUUUCUGAGGCUGUGGAAUGAUGUUUUUUCUAUUUCUUUUUUUCCUUUUUUAAAAAAAAUAAAUAAAAAAUGCUGCUUUCUGAUUUUAUUUUGUACAACUGAAGAAUAAAUAACUUUGUUGUACCAUCA